AAUGGGUUUUUCUAGGGUGUACUCGUAUAACCUUCCAUUUAUUGUUAUUUUAAUGGGAAUAUAUAAGAGAUUUUAUUUUUUGAUUUAGCUAAUUUGUAAAAAUAUAUUGUAUUUUAAACUUUUUCAUAAGUAACUUAAGGUAAAGAAUUUUUUUUUGGACCAUUCCUCGAUUUGUGCGUGUCAUCCUUGCGCUGGGGCCGUGCUAAUCUUCUCUGCAUCGUUCCAAUUUUAUUGGAUGUCCCCAAGGGGACAUUGUAGAUUGUGGUGGAAGAGGUAUAUAAAUGCUAUAUUGUCUAUGCCCGUAACAGUGUGGGAGUUUGUGUCUAGUAUACUGACCGAAACUUAGAUGAACGUGAACCUAGGAAUCUAUUUAACCCUCGAAGCAGCCUUCUAGUCAUUAACCAUGACCGUGAACUGUGAAGCAGAGGGUAAACAAUCUGGAGCGGUUUCCUUCAAGGUAGUGCGAAAUCAGGACUAUGUUACUGCUUGGAACUCAAACAGUGUAGAGUUUACAAGCAAGAUGCCAGGACUGUGCAAAAAAUUAAUUUCCCAUGGAUUUACAUGAAAAGUUUCUCUAGUCGUUCACACAACUACAGAAGUGGAGGAAGAUGGUAUCACUUUUUAAAAGUAUAAUCUCCCCCAACCUCUUAGGUUUUGGAGUUGAGACGGGACAUUCAAGCUGAGAUGGGAAUUAGCAUUCGGUUGGUCCUGACAUUCAAAGUUUGUUUCUUACAUCCAUUCAGUACAGGCUCCACCACUUGGGUAGACCUUAGGAAGGCACCCUUACAAAGUGCAAUGGAAGUUGCUUCUCUAGGCCAUGGGACACAAUGAUCACCCAUUGACCCCAUCCAGUUUUCCGGCCCAGUGAGUGGAGUUGCUUUUUUCUUACUCCGUCAAUGUGGGAAGCUUUGAGAGCAAAUCACCUAAUAAUACUAUAUUAUAUUUUUGAGUGGAAUUGCUUUGCUUUGGAUGACAGGCGCGAGUAAAGUUGGAACAGCAUUGCUCCUCAAAAACAUACACUCUCCAUCGGGCUUAUAGUUUUCGGAGUUGAGACGGAAAAAAGUUGAGAUGGCAGCUGUGAUGGUCUGUGUUUUUUCCGCAAAAGAGGCAUCACUUUCCAGAAGGCCAACCUUUCAAAUUUUGGAAUUGAGACAGGACCUACAAGUUGAGAUGGGAAUCAGCAUUCGAUUGGUCCUGACAUUCAAAGUUUGUUUCGUACGUCCAUAUCAGGUAUCACUUUUUAAAAGUAUAAUCUCUUCAAACCUUUUUAACUUUUGGAGUUGAGACGGGACAUUCAAGCUGAGAUGGGAAUUAGCAUUCGAAUGAUCCUGAUAUUCAAAGUUUGUUUCGUACGUCCAUUCAAAUCAGUUUCCGGCCUGGUGAGUGGAGUUGCUUUGCCUUGGAUGACAGGCGCGAGAAAAGUUGGAACGGUGUAAACUCUUUACAUGCAGCGUCGCUUCUCAAAAACAUAUGCUCUCCAUCGAGCUUCUAGUUUUCGGAGUUGAGACUGGGGAAAGUUGAGAUGGGAGCUGUGUUGGUCGGUGUUUUUUCCGCAAAAGAGGUAUCACUUUUUAAAAGUAUAAUCUCUUCAAACCUUUUUAACAAUUGGAGUUGAGACGGGACAUUCAAGCUGAGAUGGGAAUUAGCAUUCGAUUGGUCCUGAUAUUCAAAGUUUGUUUCGUACGUCCAUUCAUAUCAGUUUCCGGCCCGGUGAGUGGAGUUGCUUUGCCUUGGAUGACAGGCGCGAGAAAAGUUGGAACGGUGUAAACUCUUUACAUGCAGCGUCGCUCCUCAAAAACAUAUGCUAUCCAUCGAGCUUCUAGUUUUCGGAGUUGAGACUGGGGAAAGUUGAGAUGGGAGCUGUGUUGGUCGGUGUUUUUUCCGCAAAAGAGGUAUCACUUUUUAAAAGUAUAAUCUCUUCAAACCUUUUUAACUUUUGGAGUUGAGACGGGACAUUCAAGCUGAAAUGGGAAUUAGCAUUCGAUUGGUCCUGAUAUUCAAAGUUUGUUUCGUACGUCCAUUCAAAUCAGUUUCCGGCCCGGUGAGUGGAGUUGCUUUGCCUUGGAUGACAGGCGCGAGAAAAGUUGGAACGGUGUAAACUCUUUACAUGCAGCGUCGCUCCUCAAAAACAUAUGCUAUCCAUCGAGCUUCUAGUUUUCGGAGUUGAGACUGGGGAAAGUUGAGAUGGGAGCUGUGUUGGUCGGUGUUUUUUCCGCAAAAGAGGUAUCACUUUUUAAAAGUAUAAUCUCUUCAAACCUUUUUAACUUUUGGAGUUGAGACGGGACAUUCAAGUUGAAAUGGGAAUUAGCAUUCGAUUGGUCCUGAUAUUCAAAGUUUGUUUCGUACGUCCAUUCAAAUCAGUUUCCGGCCCGGUGAGUGGAGUUGCUUUGCCUUGGAUGACAGGCGCGAGAAAAGUUGGAACGGUGUAAACUCUUUACAUGCAGCGUCGCUCCUCAAAAACAUAUGCUCUCCAUCGAGCUUCUAGUUUUCGGAGUUGAGACUGGGGAAAGUUGAGAUGGGAGCUGUGUUGGUCGGUGUUUUUUCCGCAAAAGAGGUAUCACUUUUUAAAAGUAUAAUCUCUUCAAACCUUUUUAACUUUUGGAGUUGAGACGGGACAUUCAAGCUGAAAUGGGAAUUAGCAUUCGAUUGGUCCUGAUAUUCAAAGUUUGUUUCGUACGUCCAUUCAAAUCAGUUUCCGGCCCGGUGAGUGGAGUUGCUUUGCCUAGGAUGACAGGCGCGAGAAAAGUUGGAACGGUGUAAACUCUUUACAGGCAGCGUCGCUCCUCAAAAACAUAUGCUCUCCAUCGAGCUUCUAGUUUUCGGAGUUGAGACCGGGGAAAGUUGAGAAGGGAGCUGUGUUGGUCGGUUCUUUUUCCGCAAAAGAGGUAUCACUUUUUAAAAGUAUAAUCUCUUCAAACCUUUUUAACUUUUGGAGUUUGAGACGGGACAUUCAAGCUGAAAUGGGAAUUAGCAUUCGAUUGGUCCUGAUAUUCAGAGUUUGUUUCGUACGUCCAUUCAAAUCAGUUUCCGGCCCGGUGAGUGGAGUUGCUUUGCCUUGGAUGACAGGCGCGAGAAAAGUUGGAACGGUGUAAACUCUUUACAUGCAGCGUCGCUCCUCAAAAACAUAUGCUCUCCAUCGAGCUUCUAGUUUUCGGAGUUGAGACUGGGGAAAGUUGAGAAGGGAGCUGUGUUGGUCUGUGUUUUUUCCGCAAAAGAGGUACGAAGAUCAGUUCUCCACUGUAUAUUGUUAUGCAAGUUAAAUGCUUUAUGUAACCCUUUAAGUUGUGUCAUUCUAAGGGAUGUUCAGUCAACAAACCAACAAAGUUUUGUCAUUCUUUCACUUAGCCAUCAAAUAAUAUUUUUGUAGAAAACAACUUGACAAUACCAUGUGUAUAUAUUUAGUGGUAAUUGUGAAAAUGAGCCUAACUUUUUUAUUUUUUGUUAUAUUAAUGUGAAUAUAGUAAGAAUAUAUUUUUAAAAAAAAUAGCGUGUCAAGUUGAUGAAACAAUAUACAUUAUAGAGUCUUUCUUUAGUACUAGGUUAAGAAUAAAAUUAUUCUGGGUAGCUUUUUCUCUAUACCAUCUAUGAGAGUGACAUUAUCGUCAUAUUGUAAGUUGCCGGUUGUUAUAUAUUUUCUUACAAUAUUUUAAGUGAUGAUAGAAACGUGUUCUACUAAAAUAGACAAGCAAGGUUGAGACUAUGUUUUGGUGGGGUGAGCCUGGCCCGAGCAGUAGUGCAGCACUUGGGCGACUCUCGAAGACCCCAAUAGCAAGCUAUUGUGGCGGGCCUUCCCCCUUAAAAAAUUAAAUUAAUAUCGUGUGGACCAUUGGCCCACAUAUCAGAUAUUAAACUGAUAAGAACAGAUACUACACUUGAUCUUAGCCAAAAGGCCGAGAAAGGUAUGCUUAGAAUGUUUGGCAGGUUUUGUUUAUAAGCCGAGCCCCACAACUCUCAACACAAAAUAACUCGUGGUGGUAUGUAACACCAAGUAGAAAUCAGCUGAGUAGUGCUAUAGGUCAGGGGAACUAAGUACGAGUAUAUAUAAUUUCGAGUACCAAUGUCAUGAAAUACCCACAUCUUAAUGCUAUUUUACAGAGUCAUUUCAGUUUACGAUUAUUUUGGUUUUGUUUUGAACCGACCAAAUGCUCACUCCAACUCAUGGAAAAGGAUUCUGGCUGAAGGAAAGUCGUAUGUAUUAGCAUCUAUCUGGCACAGAGGGCUUGCUGUUUGUUAAAUUAUAAGUUUCAGCUGUCUGAUAUUCAAUCGGACUCUUUGGACUAGUUAGCCGUAACUGGUACAAGACUAAAUCUUAUCUGUGUGUGUUUGUAUGCAUCGUAUUAUUGUAUCUUGUUGCUAUGUCAUGUAAUGCACAAGUAUGUAAGAAGCAUUAACUGUCUAUGUUUAGACUUGUCUUGAGUUUACUUUCUUAUCUGAGGUAUGAAUUAAUGUUUUGCUGCAUGUAUUUGUGGUUACUAAUCCAAGGACUGGUCUUUGCUAGGUUUUUUUUCUUCAAGUUGCUGCCCCCUCCAGUUCACCGUAGUAGACAUGCCAGUCAAAUAUUCUGAAACAUCUCUAUUUGUAUUUGGAUAAAAAUUUAAACCCUAAUGAGUUGAAAUUGCGUGUUUUAUAA